rnacentral:rRNA from 1 species
UAGUGGCGAACGGGUGAGUAACACGUGGGCAAUCUGCCCUUCACUCUGGGACAAGCCCUGGAAACGGGGUCUAAUACCGGAUAAUACCUGCCUGGGCAUCUGGGUGGGUUGAAAGCUCCGGCGGUGAAGGAUGAGCCCGCGGCCUAUCAGCUUGUUGGUGAGGUAGUGGCUCACCAAGGCGACGACGGGUAGCCGGCCUGAGAGGGCGACCGGCCACACUGGGACUGAGACACGGCCCAGACUCCUACGGGAGGCAGCAGUGGGGAAUAUUGCACAAUGGGCGAAAGCCUGAUGCAGCGACGCCGCGUGAGGGAUGACGGCCUUCGGGUUGUAAACCUCUUUCAGCAGGGAAGAAGCGAGAGUGACGGUACCUGCAGAAGAAGCGCCGGCUAACUACGUGCCAGCAGCCGCGGUAAUACGUAGGGCGCAAGCGUUGUCCGGAAUUAUUGGGCGUAAAGAGCUCGUAGGCGGCUUGUCACGUCGGGUGUGAAAGCCCGGGGCUUAACCCCGGGUCUGCAUUCGAUACGGGCUAGCUAGAGUGUGGUAGGGGAGAUCGGAUUUCCU